GGCGCGGGGAGCGGGCUGUGCUGGGGGAGUGACCCCCGGCGAGGGACUGACCGAGCCCCGGCGGGGGACUGACAGAGCCCCGGUGAAGGAGUGGCCCCGGGCGUGUGGGAUAAAGUCUCAAUGUGUGUAUCAAAUCAAAAGCUGGCUUUACUUUUAGAUGAUGGAUACAGAUCUAUGUUAUGGCUACUGGGCAGCAGGAUAGAGAAAAGAGGAGGCCUCCAGUAAGGCACUCCCACAAGCCAGAGGCAGAGCAGCGAUUGUCCUGGAGCCCCCAGUUCCCCAACCAAGGUUCCAAGAACGAUGUGGCAGUACCAGAGGAGAAGACUUUGGGUGUGGUGCUGGACAAAAACCUCCAGCAGCAAAGGCAGAUGUUCCCAUCUGCAGGGCACUUAGAGCCAUCAGCAAUGGAGAAGAAGGAUGAGGAUGAAUUCCACACGUCGGAUACUCCUGGCAGGAGACAUGACCAUGCCUGGUACCCCUGUGAGAGCUGCAGGACUGGAGACGGAGGAAGCCCUUUGGACAGGACUCGCUGCUCCCUCAGAGCCGCGGCUCUCAGCAGAACCGUGUCAUUGCUGAGGAUGCACCUGGCCAGGAGGAGCCUUGCAGAGGAAUAGGAGGCCAGCUCAUUGCAGUCAGGGAAUGGCUGACGGGUGUUUCCCAGCAGAACUUUCCUGAAGGUG